rnacentral:rRNA from 1 species
GCCUACGGGGCGCAGCAGUGAGGAAUAUUGGUCAAUGGCCGCAGGGCUGAACCAGCCAAGUCGCGUGAGGGAUGACGGUCCUAUGGAUUGUAAACCUCUUUUGUCAGGGAGCAAAGGGCGCCACGUGUGGCGCUUUGCGAGUACCUGAAGAAAAAGCAUCGGCUAACUCCGUGCCAGCAGCCGCGGUAAUACGUAGGGGGCAAGCGUUAUCCGGAAUUACUGGGUGUAAAGGGAGCGUAGACGGUUAAGUAAGUCUGGAGUGAAAGGCCGGGGCCCAACCCCGGGACUGCUCUGGAAACUAUUCA